UCCCUGGUGGUCCAGUGGCUAAGACUCUGCUCUCCCAGUGCAGAAAGCCCAGGUUCAAACCUAGUCAGGGAA
rnacentral:tRNA from 1 species